rnacentral:rRNA from 1 species
UUCCUCCGGGGCGCAGCAGUGGGGAAUAUUGCACAAUGGGGGAAACCCUGAUGCAGCAACGCCGCGUGAGUGAAGAAGUAUUUCGGUAUGUAAAGCUCUAUCAGCAGGGAAGAAGAUGACGGUACCUGAGUAAGAAGCCCCGGCUAACUACGUGCCAGCAGCCGCGGUAAUACGUAGGGGGCAAGCGUUAUCCGGAUUUACUGGGUGUAAAGGGAGCGCAGACGGUGAGACAAGUCUGAAGAGAAAGCC